UUUGUGUAAAUUAGAGUGUUCAAAGCAAACAGUUAAAGCAUUUUUACUGCGUUUGAAUACUACAGCAUGGAAUAACAAAAUUGAACAAGCCAGAAUUCUGUUCUUUUUUCUUAUUUUGGCUUAGUUACGAUUAAUAGGAGUAGCUUGGGGGCAUUUGUAUUCAGAUGUCAGAGGUGAAAUUCUUAGAUUUUCUGGAGACAAACAACUGCGAAAGCAUUUGCCUAAAAUACUUCCAUUAAUCAAGAACGAAAGUUAAGGGAGUGAAGACGAUCAGAUACCGUCGUAAUCUUAACCAUAAACUAUACCAACUAGGUUUUGGAUGAAAAGUUUUUAAAUAAGAGAAUUCCUUUCGGGGAAAUUUCUUAGAUUGCUUCUUUCAGUACCUUAUGAGAAAUCAAAGUCUUUGGGUUCUGGGGCGAGUAUUCGCGCAAGCGAGAAAGUUAAAAGAAUUGACGGAAGGGCACCACCAGGCGUGGAGCUUGCGGCUUAAUUUGACUCAACACGGGGAAACUCACUAGUUUAAGACAAGAGUAGGAUUGACAGAUUAAUAGCUCUUUCUUGAUUUCUUGGAUGGUGAUGCAUGGCCGUUUUUAGUUCGUGAAUAUGAUUUGUCUGGUUAAUUCCGAUAACGAACGAGAUCUUAACCUGCUAAUUAGCGGCGAAUACGUUAUAUUCUUAUGUGAAAUUGAAUAUAGC
rnacentral:rRNA from 1 species